GAAGGUGUGCUGUGAGGCAUGCUGGAGGUAUCAGAAGUGCGAAUGCUGACAUAAGUAACGAUAAAGCGGGUGAAAAGCCCGCUCGCCGGAAGACCAAGGGUUCCUGUCCAACGUUAAUCGGGGCAGGGUGAGUCGACCCCUAAGGCGAGGCCGAAAGGCGUAGUCGAUGGGAAACAGGUUAAUAUUCCUGUACUUGGUGUUACUGCGAAGGGGGGACGGAGAAGGCUAUGUUGGCCGGGCGACGGUUGUCCCGGUUUAAGCGUGUAGGCUGGUUUUCCAGGCAAAUCCGGAAAAUCAAGGCUGAGGCGUGAUGACGAGGCACUACGGUGCUGAAGCAACAAAUGCCCUGCUUCCAGGAAAAGCCUCUAAGCAUCAGGUAACAUCAAAUCGUACCCCAAACCGACACAGGUGGUCAGGUAGAGAAUACCAAGGCGCUUGAGAGAACUCGGGUGAAGGAACUAGGCAAAAUGGUGCCGUAACUUCGGGAGAAGGCACGCUGAUAUGUAGGUGAAGUCCCUCGCGGAUGGAGCUGAAAUCAGUCGAAGAUACCAGCUGGCUGCAACUGUUUAUUAAAAACACAGCACUGUGCAAACACGAAAGUGGACGUAUACGGUGUGACGCCUGCCCGGUGCCGGAAGGUUAAUUGAUGGGGUUAGCCGCAAGGCGAAGCUCUUGAUCGAAGCCCCGGUAAACGGCGGCCGUAACUAUAACGGUCCUAAGGUAGCGAAAUUCCUUGUCGGGUAAGUUCCGACCUGCACGAAUGGCGUAAUGAUGGCCAGGCUGUCUCCACCCGAGACUCAGUGAAAUUGAACUCGCUGUGAAGAUGCAGUGUACCCGCGGCAAGACGGAAAGACCCCGUGAACCUUUACUAUAGCUUGACACUGAACAUUGAGCCUUGAUGUGUAGGAUAGGUGGGAGGCUUUGAAGUGUGGACGCCAGUCUGCAUGGAGCCGACCUUGAAAUACCACCCUUUAAUGUUUGAUGUUCUAACGUUGACCCGUAAUCCGGGUUGCGGACAGUGUCUGGUGGGUAGUUUGACUGGGGCGGUCUCCUCCUAAAGAGUAACGGAGGAGCACGAAGGUUGGCUAAUCCUGGUCGGACAUCAGGAGGUUAGUGCAAUGGCAUAAGCCAGCUUGACUGCGAGCGUGACGGCGCGAGCAGGUGCGAAAGCAGGUCAUAGUGAUCCGGUGGUUCUGAAUGGAAGGGCCAUCGCUCAACGGAUAAAAGGUACUCCGGGGAUAACAGGCUGAUACCGCCCAAGAGUUCAUAUCGACGGCGGUGUUUGGCACCUCGAUGUCGGCUCAUCACAUCCUGGGGCUGAAGUAGGUCCCAAGGGUAUGGCUGUUCGCCAUUUAAAGUGGUACGCGAGCUGGGUUUAGAACGUCGUGAGACAGUUCGGUCCCUAUCUGCCGUGGGCGCUGGAGAACUGAGGGGGGCUGCUCCUAGUACGAGAGGACCGGAGUGGACGCAUCACUGGUGUUCGGGUUGUCAUGCCAAUGGCACUGCCCGGUAGCUAAAUGCGGAAGAGAUAAGUGCUGAAAGCAUCUAAGCACGAAACUUGCCCCGAGAUGAGUUCUCCCUGACUCCUUGAGAGUCCUGAAGGAACGUUGAAGACGACGACGUUGAUAGGCCGGGUGUGUAAGCGCAGCGAUGCGUUGAGCUAACCGGUACUAAUGAACCGUGAGGCUUAACCUU
rnacentral:rRNA from 1 species